UAUCUGAUUGCUCAGCUGUCCAAACCCUCUGAACCGACAUAUUUGUUCAUUGUGUUCGACAAACCUGUUUACUGAUUGUUUACUUUACUGAUUGAUUGUUUUUUCUCUCUGUUGAAGACUGACAUCUCUCAAAAUGGACGCCAACACUGUCUUUAAACAAGUCCAACAAAUGAGACCAUCCUCUUUCUCUGAAGAAGAGCGAUGCUGCUACCAAGCAGAAAAGAUGAUGCUCAGGCAGUUUGUGCUCCUGAAGCAGCAGGAUCAAGUCCCCAAUCAUUUAACUGUCAGACAGAUGAUGACCUGUGAUGAAGUCAAACUGACUGUUUAUUUGCAUCAUACACUGAUAGAAAACUGACAUGUUAUAUUACAGCCUUUUUUACAAACAUGUAACAGUUGUAGAAAAUAACAAUAUUUUUUUUAUUUUUACAGGUUUCAGGAAAUGAUGAUGAUGAAUGAUGAUGGCAGACUCGAGACAAAACAUCUCAUGGCUAACCUGGCCUGGACAACAGCGAGGAGAUUCUGUCUCAGUCAAAUGGAGCAGGAGGUCCAAGAAGAGCUGGACGAGGAGAAGCAGCUUUCACAGCUGCUGAACAGGAAGGUCACACUGGAGGGCCUUCAGAUGUUUGUUACAGUCUUCCGACCAAAAGCAGAGGAGGCUGUGCGAAUAUAUCCACCAUCACUGUUCAGCAAGCUGCUGAAAUAUUUUGGUGGAUCUCACAUUCCUCCUGUCUUCAGGGGAUGAGAAGCCAGGAGAACUCUCUCAGAGCAGUCAUCCAGGAGGUGAUAAACACCACUCUGAAGUUCCUUCUGGAAGAACCAGAGUCUGCAGACCAAAUUGAAGCAGCCAUCAUUGAGGUUGGGAGACUGCUGAGUGACUCAGCAGCUCCCUACCUGCCUCAGUAUGGACCUCUCUCUGCAGCUCCUUUGCUCAGGGUCUGCACUUUAGCACCAAGAUUCAAGGUCAAAUCCAUCUUAAAGGAUUUGACCAUCACUCCAAGACCUUCCACAUAAUGGACUAUGAUGACAGCUUAUUCUCUGCAAGAGAGAACGUCAUCUUUGCAAUCCAGGAUAUGGACAAUAGAGUGCAGACUGCCGCAUGCAGACCUCAGCCUCAGCUCAGCACGUCGGAAGGGUCACAAGAGGGACUUCUCCAGACGUCUCCACACGAAGUGACAGCCACUGUGAGGACAUCCUCAUCCUGAAGACUGGAGACCAACGUGAUUGUAUACAUGGAGCCGAAGCUAGAAGUCCUGCAGGAGGAGUUGGAGGCUGAGGACUUCGGAGUUCAGAGAAAGAUGAGGAAGAAGAAGAAAGUGUGUGCCUUCUUCCGUGGCAUUUGGAGGACAAUGUCAUGCUGCUUCCAUUGUCCCUCUGAAGAGUAAAUAAUAGCAAUGUCUCUGUGCCACGGCAGACCAAAAAGCAGGACUUCUGGGGGGGGGAGAGGCUUCUCCAGGAGUUGC